UUAGUGAGCCCAGUCGGGCUGACACAUAAAAUGACACCAUCACACCCUCGGUGGCUCAGUGAUACACUCAUUCCCUCUCCCUAUGCUCCCUGACCCUGUUUCCGCCUUCUAGCAACCGGGACCCCCAAAUGAUUCUGGGCUUUUCUGUGAGAAUCAGGCGGCUGCAUUCCCUUCUUCACCCCCUUUCACGUGGCCCCACCUCGGGCAUCCAGUUUUCUGUUGUUUGGCCACCGCUUUGCAAAGGACAGAAGAUGGGGCAGGCUGGUUUCUACAGAAAACUCAUCUGUUCUCCCAUCUGUCUCCCUCCCAGCUGACAAGCACCUUUCUCCAGCUGACCUUGAGCCGGUGUUCCUAAACAGUAGGAGUUUUAGGGUCUGGGAGGCCCCAAGGAAAAAGUAUGAAAUGGAAUGUUAAGGAGGACUUCUCCUGCCAGACUAGAAGUGGAGCUAAAGGCUGAAAGCUGAGGACGUGUGUGUGCUGACACUGAGAGGUCCUCCCAAUAGCUGCCCCCACCCCCCAGGGCUGACCAAGAAGGGGAAGAACUGGCUCUGCUCCCAUCACCGUCCCACCAGAAGACUGGGCAGGGGUUCAGGCUUCCUAAUGAACGGGGAUUGUCUCCCGCCCUCCAAAGGAAGCAGGUGCUUCUGUUCUGUGAGCCCAAAGGAACAGGGGUGCCUCCCACAGCCUCACUCACAGGCAGGCCCCGCUUUGGGUGUCUUUCUUUUUUUUUCUAUAAGAUUUAUGUAUUUAUAAGAGAGAGAGCGAGAGAGCAGGAGAGCACGAGCCUGGGGGAGGGGCAGAGGGAGAAGCCGACUCCCCCCUGAGCAGGGAGCCUGAUGCGCGCUGGAUCCAGGGAUCCUGAGAUCCUGACCUGAGCUGAAGGCAGAUGCUUACCCGGCCGAGCACCGGUGCUGGGGUGAGGACACUGAGAUGCAAGAGGUUAAUCCAGGAUGGGCAGCUGGUGCAUGACAGAACUGGGAUUCUGACUACAGUGGCCUGAUCCCAAUGCCUGUGUUCAUGACUCUGAUGUGACAGGACUCUGACUAUAUCACCUUAGGGUGCCCUGCCUGGCUAGGUCAGAGAAACAUGUGAUUCCUGAUUUCGGGAUUGUGAGUUUGAGCCCCACACUGGGUGUGGAGAUUACUUUAAAAUAAAAUCUGAAAAAUAAAUAAAUGAACCA